UUGGACUGAUAUCACGCAAGG
rnacentral:rRNA from 1 species